CAGUGAACAGAGGAAAAACUCAGAAGCCCAAACAGGUUUCAAAUUGGCAGUUGUAGAUGUGGAAGCAUCAUGCCUGAGCCCACUGAAUCAGUGAAGGUCUCCCUGAGGUAGUGAUGGGUUGAAAUGGGCUUGCUCAAGCAACUAAAGGAAGGCCACUAAUUCUGGGAUGCAGUAAAAAGAGGCCAAAUAACACAGGACUUUUUAAACCCAGGUGGAUUGGGAGGACCUUCAAGAUGAUGGAGGAGUAAGACAUGGAGAUCACCUUCCUCCCCACAAAUACAUCAAAAAUACAUCUACAUGUGGAACAACUCAUACAAAACACCUACUAAAUGCUGGCAGAAGACCUCAGACUUCC